rnacentral:rRNA from 1 species
GAUCCUGGCUCAGGAUGAACGCUGGCGGCGUGCUUAACACAUGCAAGUCGAACGGAAAGGCCAGUGCUUGCACUGGUGCUCGAGUGGCGAACGGGUGAGUAACACGUGAGUGAUCUGCCCUGCACUUUGGGAUAAGCCUGGGAAACUGGGUCUAAUACCGGAUAGGACCAUGCUUUAGAUGGUGUGGUGGAAAGUUUUUUCGGUGUGGGAUGAGCUUGCGGCCUAUCAGCUUGUUGGG